UUGAUAGGAAAGAGGAAGUCAGUCACACAAUGGAAAUCAACUCUGAGCUCGGCUCGUGCUCUGAAGAGUUCAAAGCUUCGAUUCGCGCACUGGAUCUCUCGGUGACUUUCUCUACGUUAUCACAUCGUUUGAAUGUCAUAAAAUGACGGAGAAUGAGCUUCAUCUCGUACUGAAGGUUAUAGCCUUUGUAGAUGUGAUGUUUGAGACCGAGGAUUGCAACGAUACCCUUCAGGGCUAUUCGUCGAUCUCGAUACGUUGCCCGAUGUAAACUGCUUAUGAUUUUGAAAGAGAAACGAUUGAAGUCAGUCAUACCAACGGGAAAUCAACCUUUUGAGCUCGGUCUCGUGGGUUUUGAAGAGUUUCAAAGCCUUCGGAUUCGCGGGAUUGGGAUCUCUCGGUGUACUUUCUCGUACGGUUAGUCAACAUCGGUUUUGAAUGUCAUAAAAUGACUGGAGGAAUGUAGCUUCGAUCUCGUAUUGAAGUGUUAUAGCCUUUGGUAGAUGUGAUGUUUGAGACCGAGGAUUGCAACGGAUACCCUUCAGGGCUAUUCGUCUGAUCUCUGAUACGUUGCCCUGAUGUUGAAAGCUUGCCCUUUGAAGAUUAGGGGUUAUUAACACGGUAUAAA
rnacentral:rRNA from 1 species